UACGUAGGUCCCGAGCGUUGUCCGGAUUUAUUGGGCGUAAAGCGAGCGCAGGUGGUUUAUUAAGUCUGGUGUAAAAGGCAGUGGCUCAACCAUUGUAUGCAUUGGAAACUGGUAGACUUGAGUGCAGGGAGGAGAGUGGAAUUCCAUGUGUAGCGGUGAAAUGCGUAGAUAUAUGGAGGAACACCGGUGGCGAAAGCGGCUCUCUGGCCUGUAACUGACACUGAGGCUCGAAAGCGUGGGGAGCAAACAGG
rnacentral:rRNA from 1 species